UGGUCAAGUUAUUAAGGGUGCAGGGCGGAUGCCUUGGCACUAGGAGCCGAUGAAGGACGUGAUAAGCUGCGAUAAGCUUCGGGGAGUUGCACGUAAACUUUGAUCCGAAGAUUUCCGAAUGAGGAAACUCACUUAGAGUAAUGUCUAAGUAUCAUUAAGUGAAUACAUAGCUUAAUGAGGGGAACUCAGGGAACUGAAACAUCUAAGUACCUGAAGGAAGAGAAAGAAAUUCGAUUCCGUAAGUAGCGGCGAGCGAACGCGGAUUAGCCCAAACCAAUAAAGUUUUCUUUAUUGGGGUUGCGGACAUAUCAUAACGAAGAGGUAUCGUAAUUGAAGAGGUUUGGAAAGACCCACCACAGAAGGUAAUAGUCCU
rnacentral:rRNA from 1 species